UAGGAAGAUGUCUGCUAGGUGUGUUGUGCCCUUGAGCGCGUUGUACUUGCUGGAGCUAACGCGUUAAGUACACCGCCUGGGGAGUACGGCCGCAAGGUUAAAACUCCAAUGAAUUGACGGGGGCCCGCACAAGCGGUGGGACAUGUGGUUUUAUUUCAUGCAACGCGAAAAACCUUACCUACUCUUGACAUCCAUCUGACUUUCCUAAGAUGGAUUGGUCUCUUCGGGACUCUGAGACAGGUGCUGCAUGGCUGUCGUCAGCUCGUGUUGUGAGAGUUGGUUAAGUCCCGCAACGAGCGCACCCUUAUCCUUUGUUGCCAUCGGUUAGGCCGGCAACUCAAAGUAAACUGCGGUGAUAAACUGGAGGAAGGGGGGGAUGACGUCAAUUCAUCAUGGCCCCUUACAACUGGGGCUACACACGUGCUACAAUGGACGCAUACAAAGAGCUGCGACACUCGCGAGGUGGAGCUGACCUCAUAAAGUGCUUCUCAGUUCGGAUUGGAGGCUGCAACUCGACUCCAUGAAGUCGGAAUCGCUAGUAAUCGUGGAUCAGAAUGCCACGGUGAAUACGUUCCCGGGCCUUGUACACACCGCCCGUCACACCAUGAGAGUGUGUUGCACCCGAAGUCGGUGGCUUAACCUUCAUGAAGGCGCUUACCACUUGGGGAAUCAAGAAUGGGGGUAAAUUCAAAAGGGGGACCAAAAA
rnacentral:rRNA from 1 species